AAAGAGAGAGUAAAACAGUACGNGAAACCGCAUGCAGGUAAACGGGGGGGGGGUCCAAAGUUGCAAGCCCGGGGGGGAUUUAAGCCGGGUUAGGGUGUUGGGUAUGCGCCUGGGGCAUUUUNUCAGCCCAGAGUAGGGUGUUGUAGUCCCACUGGUAAACGGUGGGUCUGGUCGCUUGUCGGCUGGGCGGUGUGUACCGGGUGGAAGCCGGAGCAUGCUACACAUCUGUAGGGCUGUCUAGYCAGUGCACUUUCUCCGUGGUGUGCACCACGAUCGAUGGAACUGCCAGUCUGCUGUAGUCAAGUCGUGCUCGGUGGGUUCUUGUAGCCAACUGGGUGCGGCGAUCCACAGGCAAAUUCGGUAGACGGCGUAGGUGUGCCUCGGUGUGCCUACGUGUUAUCGCAUACCGGUUGUCAACGGGUYUGCUGGGUGUAGUUGUUGUAGCCGCAAUCUGGUGACCUGGUGGACUAUGGUGGUAAGUAUAACUGUGCAGGGCAUCGGUGUGAUCGGCCUCAAAUGUUGCAAAUMGUGUGUGCGCUACAARCGUGUUCAUGUGUGCCCGUGCAUGGGGGCCCCGUAAAUGAAGGUGKGACUGGUGUHGGGUCUUUAUUGUUGUCUCGCCUAAUUCAAAGYGGRAAWDRCAGGGGCGCACUGCWAGCNNUCNCWAUGGGCGUCNUCCUAUGGUACG
rnacentral:rRNA from 1 species